UACAGAGGUCUCAAGCGUUGUUCGGAUUCAUUGGGCGUAAAGGGUGCGUAGGUGGCGCCGUAAGUGGGGUGUGAAAUCUCGGGGCUUAACUCCGAAACUGCAUUCCAUACUGCGGUGCUCGAGGACUGGAGAGGAGACUGGAAUUCAUGGUGUAGCAGUGAAAUGCGUAGAGAUCAUGAGGAAGACCAGUGGCGAAGGCGGGUCUCUGGACAGUUCCUGACACUGAGACACGAAGGCCAGGGGAGCAAACGGG
rnacentral:rRNA from 1 species